AUGACUUUCAUCCCCAUCUUCAUCUGGAAUCUGGUCUGUUACGCACAAGGGUCUUGGGGCCAGUAUGUAUCGACUCAGUCUGCAGCUCAAUCAGUCCAGCCUGGUCAAACUGUCUCUAUUGACUGUAGCACCAGUAGUAAAGUUACUCAGUACUCUGGCUCACAGUAUUACCUGGCCUGGUACCAUCAGACGUCUGGAGAAGCUCCUAAACUCCUGAUCUGUUACACAUCAGACAGGUUCACAGGAGUUUCCACCAGGUUCAGUGGCAGUGGGAGAGGAAAUGGUGUUGACUUCACUCUGACCAUCAGUGAUGUCCAGGCUGAGGAUACAGGAGUUUACUACUGUCAGAGUCAGUGGUCCUGUGUCCACAGUGGUCCUGUGUUCACACAGUGA